UACGGAGAGUGCAAGCAUUAAUCGGAAUUAUUGGGCGUAAAGGGCGCGUAGGCGGGGAUGUAAGUCAGAUGUGAAAUUCCGAAGCUCAACUUCGGAGCUGCAUUUGAAACUGUGUUUCUAGAGGAUUGACGGAGAAAAUGGAAUUCCACGUGUAGCGGUGAAAUGCGUAGAUAUGUGGAAGAACACCUGUGGCGAAAGCGGUUUUCUAGUUAAUACCUGACGCUGAGGCGCGAGAGCAAGGGGAGCAAACAGG
rnacentral:rRNA from 1 species